AGAAAUGAUUUUCAAAAACUGGCAAGAGUCACAUAAAUAAAGAACAUGGUAAAAUAAAUUUCCAGAAUAAAUACUAAAGACCAAUGAAUAACCAACUGGAAAACACAGUACACAGACCUGAGCAGAGGCAAAGUCUGGAGUAAAAGCACACUCAUUUAGGGGAGCUGAAUUCCACAGUGAAUCUGUCGGGACCUGAGCUCUUCUUUGUGGCCUGUGUGCCCACCAACACCUGGUGUGGAUAAUGCUGUGGACAUUUGGUAAUGCCAGUUAUCUUGGAACACCUGGUGUGACAGAGCUUGGAGGCAUCACAGACCUUCCUGCAAAUUCAGCAGACCCCAAGGGAGAGAUGUGAUGGCAGAAGAGUGUGAUGGACCAAAGCUACACACUUUAUGCGGACAAGGAGAGCAGAGGAAGAGUGCCAGAGAGGAAAGGACAAUGGACCAGAAGACCCCUAAUUCCUGCGAGCCACGUGACUUCCCCGUAUCCCUGAAGUUCCAUCUGCUGUAAGGCAAGAACUGCAAAAUAGCCAUUAAAAUCUGUAGAGAUGCCAGCUGC